rnacentral:rRNA from 11 species
GACUCUCGGCAACGGAUAUCUCGGCUCACGCAUCGUAUGAUGAAGAACGUAAGCAAAAUGCGAUACUUGGUGUUGUGUGAAUUGCAGAAUCCCAGUGAACCAUCGAGUUUUUGAACGCAAGUUGCGCCCGAAGCCAUCGGUUGAGGGCACGUCUGCCUGGGCGUCA